AACUAUAACGGUCCUAAGGUAGCGAAAUUCCUUGUCAGGUAAGUUCUGACCCGCACGAAUGGCGUAAUGAUUUGGGCACUGUCUCAACAGCCCGCCCGGCGAAAUUGUAGUACUGGUGAAGAUGCCAGUUACCCGCAACUAGACGGAAAGACCCCAUGGAGCUUUACUGCAGCUUAAUACUGAAAUUCGGUAGUACAUGUACAGGAUAGGUGGGAGACUGAGAAAUACAGGCGUCAGCUUGUAUGGAGUCGCUGUUGGGAUACCACUCUUGUACUGCUGGGUUUCUAACCUGCGGCCGUGAAUCCGGUCGGGGGACACUGUUAGGCGGGCAGUUUGACUGGGGCGGUCGCCUCCAAAAGAGUAACGGAGGCGCUCAAAGGUUCGUUCAGCACGGACGGAAAUCGUGCAUUGAGUGUAAACGCAUAAACGAGCCUAACUGCGAGACCGACGGGUCGAGCAGUAACGAAAGUUGGAGUUAGUGAUCCGGUGGUAUGUGAGUGGAAAUGCCAUCGCUCAACGGAUAAAAGUUACCCUGGGGAUAACAGGCUGAUCUCCCCCAAGAGUCCACAUCGACGGGGAGGUUUGGCACCUCGAUGUCGGCUCAUCGCAUCCUGGGGCUGUAUUCGGUCCCAAGGGUUUGGCUGUUCGCCAAUUAAAGCGGCACGCGAGCUGGGUUCAGAACGUCGUGAGACAGUUCGGUCCCUAUCUGUUGCGGGCGUAAGAGAUUUGAAGGGAGCUGUCCUUAGUACGAGAGGACCGGGAUGGACGUACCUCUGGUGCACCAGUUGUCCUGCCAAGGGCAUAGCUGGGUAGCUAUGUACGGACGAGAUAAACGCUGAAAGCAUCUAAGCGUGAAACUCCCCCUAAGAUGAGAUCUCUCAUCCUUUAAGGAGUAAGGACCCAGAAAGACGAUCUGGUUGAUAGGCCGAAGGUGGAAGCGCAGUAAUGUGUGGAGCUGAUCGGUACUAAUAGUCCGAGGGCUUGACCUA
rnacentral:rRNA from 1 species